rnacentral:rRNA from 1 species
UCAUUAGUUUUUUAAUUGAAAGCCGGAAUGAAGGGCUGAAUGAAAAAAAAACUGUGUUUAAUUAAUUAUUGGACAAUUUUAUUUUUAAGUCAAAAAGCUUAAAUUUUAUUAAAAGACGAGAAGACCCUAUAGAGUUUAAUAACCUUAUACUAUAAAAAAUUAGGAAUUAAUAUUUUUAUUUUUAUAUAAUUAUUUGAUUGGGGUGACCAAAAAAUUGAAUAAACUUUUUUAUUUAUUUAUAUUGAUUAAUAAAUAAUUGAUCGAAAAAUUUUGAUUAAAAGAUAAAAUUACCUUAGGGAUAACAGCGUAAUUUUAUUUGAGAGUUCCAAUGGAUAAUAAAGGGUGCGACCUCGAUGUUGGAUUAAAAUUUAUUUUUGGUGUAGAAGCUAUAU